CUGCAUGACUGACAGCUGUCAAUCAACACCAACAUGACUCUGAUCUCCGUCCUCAUCUGGACUCUGCUCUGCUGCUGCUUCACAGAGUCCAAAAUCCAGGUCACAGUGACUCAACCUGAAGCAGUCACAUCUGCUCCAGGAGGCUCCACCACCAUCACUUGUACAACCAGUCACAAUGUUUAUGCAUCAAAUCAGUUAUCCUGGUACCAACAGAGAGACGGAGAAACUCCUAAACUCCUCAUUUAUCGUGCGAGCAGCCGAGCAUCAGGGACCCCAAACCGUUUUUCAGGCAGUGGAUCAAACUCUGAUUUCAGUCUGACCAUCAGUGGAGUCCAGGCUGAAGAUGCAGCAGUUUAUUACUGUCUGGGUGUUUUUGAUUCCAGCAAGUAUGAGCUGUUCACACAGUGAAAAAGCAUCAUACAA